rnacentral:rRNA from 1 species
CAAAGAUUAAGCCAUGCAUGUCUAAGUAUAAGCAAUCUAUACUGUGAAACUGCGAAUGGCUCAUUAAAUCAGUUAUCGUUUAUUUGAUAGUACCUUACUACUUGGAUAACCGUGGUAAUUCUAGAGCUAAUACAUGCUAAAAACCCCGACUUCGGAAGGGGUGUAUUUAUUAGAUAAAAAACCAAUGCCCUUCGGGGCUCCUUGGUGAAUCAUGAUAACUUAACGAAUCGCAUGGCCUUGCGCCGGCGAUGGUUCAUUCAAAUUUCUGCCCUAUCAACUUUCGAUGGUAGGAUAGUGGCCUACCAUGGUAUCAACGGGUAACGGGGAAUUAGGGUUCUAUUCCGGAGAGGGAGCCUGAGAAACGGCUACCACAUCCAAGGAAGGCAGCAGGCGCGCAAAUUACCCAAUCCCGACACGGGGAGGUAGUGACAAUAAAUACUGAUACAGGGCUCUUUUGGGUCUUGUAAUUGGAAUGAGUACAAUUUAAAUACCUUAACGAGGAACAAUUGGAGGGCAAGUCUGGUGCCAGCAGCCGCGGUAAUUCCAGCUCCAAUAGCGUAUAUUAAAGUUGUUGCAGUUAAAAAGCUCGUAGUUGAACCUUGGGCCUGGCUGGCCGGUCUGCCUCACCGCAUGUACUGGUUCGGCCGGGCCUUUCCUCCUGGGGAUCCGCAUGCCCUUCACUGGGUGUGUCGGGGAACCAGGACUUUUACUUUGAAAAAAUUAGAGUGUUCAAAGCAGGCCUUUGCUCGAAUACAUUAGCAUGGAAUAAUAGAAUAGGACGUGCGGUCCUAUUUUGUUGGUUUCUAGGACCGCCGUAAUGAUUAAUAGGGAUAGUCGGGGGCAUCAGUAUUCAGUUGUCAGAGGUGAAAUUCUUGGAUUUACUGAAGACUAACUACUGCGAAAGCAUUUGCCAAGGAUGUUUUCAUUAAUCAGUGAACGAAAGUUAGGGGAUCGAAGACGAUCAGAUACCGUCGUAGUCUUAACCGUAAACUAUGCCGACUAGGGAUCGGGCGAUGUUAUUCUUUUGACUCGCUCGGCACCUUACGAGAAAUCAAAGUCUUUGGGUUCUGGGGGGAGUAUG